AUGGGCGGAAACCCUGACAAGAGACAACGACCGACUCCGCGGGGCGCAGACAGGAGGCCAGUCCGAGAGUGCCAGAGACACAGACACAGAGACGCCGAGCUGGAGAGAACCCGGCGGGGACGAGACACUGGGAGGGAUGCGGGGGGGGGGGGGGGGGGGAGAGAGGGAGAGAGAGAGAGAAACGAGGGGUGGGGGAUCGGAUCAGAUACUCGGAGAGACAGCGGAGGCCCAAGGAGAAAACUCAAGAGAGACCCACGCAGAGCCAGAGACACAACGAUAGACGAGAGACAGAGACGCCGAGACGAGAGGAGCCCGGGAGAGACGAGGCCGGAGAGCGAUAGAAACACGGAGAGAAAACCUGGAGGCGGAGGUGCCCAGCCCGAGGGUCGGGGACAGGGGACGCGCGGGAGCCCAAGCGCCGAGGCGAGGCCCCGCGGGGUCGGACCCGGACGGGGGCCCGGGCCGCAGGAGGCGGAAAACGACGGCGCCGGGACCAAGAGCCCGAAAACGCGGAGCCGCCGGGGGCCCCCGCGCCGGGAGAGACAAAGCCGCGGCAGCGACGGCAACAGGAGGCACAGCCCGAGCCGCCGCUGCCACCGGGACGUCGGGCGGGGAGACCUCGGGCGGGGGUCGGCGGGCUCCGGGAAGCCGAGCCCGAGGCGGGGGAGCGACCUCGGGCGGAGAGGCGAAGUCCUGAGGAGGGAAGCGACCGGAGCCAGGGCCCGGGACGCGAGAGUGGGAGCGACGGCGGCCGCGGCCGGCCCGACGCCCACCUGGUCGCUCCCGCCAGCAGCGCCCCGCGUCCCGCCCGUGCGGAGCCCGCACCUCCCGGCCGCGCCGCCGCCGCCGGCGAGGAGCCGCACCCGGGCGCAGCGCCGCCGGCCCGCGAUGACGGCCGCUCGGGCCGGGGGCCGGGAGGCGGGGGCGCUGGGCUGGCGGCGCGUGGGCCUCAGCUCCCCCUCCCGCCUCCCUGCCCCCUCCUGCCCGUCCCCACCAGCCGCCGGGACCGCCCGAGGCGCACCCAACCCGUGCCCCUACGCCGCCACCGCGCCCCAAGCCAACCCGCCGCGCCGGGGCCGGGGGCCGGCCCCUCUAUAUCGGCGCUUGCGGUAUCCGGGGGCGGAGGCCCGGCCGCGUCCUCCCCCCAAGCCCGGCCCGCGCCGGGCACCCUCUCCGCAGCCCGGCUCCAGUCUUCGCUCUCAUCCUCCCCGCCCCCCAGCCCCUGUCCUGUUCCCCGGACCCCAAGCGCGGCCAGAGAGCUGCGGAGCCCGAGUGCCCCGCGAUCUGGGCAGGUGUUCGGCUCUGGGGGCCUCGGGUCACCCGCCUGCAGUGGGAAGAGGCAGCUCCUGUCUGCGAACCCAGCUGGGUCGUGGCGAAUGCCACGCGGGUUGCUGGUCGCACUGCAGCGUGGAAGCGGGUAAGGGCGAGUGGCUACAGUGGCCGAGGCUCAGGUUCACGGGUGGAAGCCAGAUUCUCCCAUGGGCCCCGCCAAGUCUGCUCACUCGAGCCUGCGGCAGCUCUCUGCCCGUUGCGUCUUCAGUUGCCGCAUCUGUGAAGUGGGUAGAUGACCGCUCUUCCUCGCUAAGGGUGGGUCGUGAGGAUGAACCCAAGCAGUAG
ensembl:lncRNA